rnacentral:rRNA from 1 species
UACGGGGGGGGGCAAGCGUUGUUCGGAAUUACUGGGCGUAAAGGGCCAGUAGGCGGCCAACUAAGUCGGAUGUGAAAUCCCCCAGGCUCAACCUGGGAACUGCAUCCGAUACUGGAUGGCUUGAAUUCGGGAGAGGGAUGCAGAAUUCCAGGUGUAGCGGUGAAAUGCGUAGAUAUCUGGAGGAAUACCGGUGGCGAAGGCGGCAUCCUGGACCGACAUUGACGCUGAACGGCGAAAGCUAGGGGAGCAAACGGG